GACGAACGCUGGCGGCGUGCUUAACACAUGCAAGUCGAACGGUGACGGAGAGCUUGCUCUCCUGAUCAGUGGCGAACGGGUGAGUAACACGUGGGCAACCUGCCCAGACUUCGGGAUAACGCUUCGAAAGAGGUGCUAAUACCGGAUACGAGCUCCUUGGGCAUCCUUGGAGUUGGAAAGUUUUUCGGUCUGGGAUGGGCCCGCGGCCUAUCAGCUAGUUGGUGAGGUAACGGCUCACCAAGGCGACGACGGGUAGCCGGCCUGAGAGGGCGACCGGCCACACUGGGACUGAGACACGGCCCAGACUCCUACGGAGGCAGCAGUGGGGAAUAUUGCGCAAUGGGCGAAAGCCUGACGCAGCAACGCCGCGUGAGGGAUGACGGCCUCGG
rnacentral:rRNA from 1 species